rnacentral:rRNA from 1 species
UACGUAGGGAGCAAGCGUUGUUCGGAAUGACUGGGCGUAAAGGGUGCGUAGACGGCGACGCAAGUCUGGAGUGAAAGCCCGGGGCCCAACCCCGGGACUGCUCUGGAAACUGCGUCGCUGGAGUACGGGAGGGGCAGGCGGAAUUCCUGGUGUAGCGGUGAAAUGCGUAGAUAUCAGGAGGAACACCGGCGGCGAAGGCGGCCUGCUGGACCGUGACUGACGUUGAGGCUCGAGAGCGUGGGGAGCAAACAGG